UGGGGAAUAUUGCACAAUGGAGGGAACUCUGAUGCAGCGACGCCGCGUUAACGAAGAAGGCUUUCGAGUCGUAAAGUUCUUUUAUAUGGGAAGAUAAUGACGGUACCAUAAGAAGAAGCCCCGGCUAACUACGUGCCAGCAGCCGCGGUAAUACGUAGGGGGCUAGCGUUGUCCGGAAUCACUGGGCGUAAAGGGUUCGCAGGCGGAAAUGCAAGUCAGGUGUAAAAGGCAGUAGCUUAACUACUGUAAGCAUUUGAAACUGCAUAUCUUGGGAAGAGUAGAGGUAAGUGGAAUUUUUAGUGUAGCGGUGAAAUGCGUAGAUAUUAAAAAGAAUACCGGUGGCGAAGGCGACUUACUGGGCUCAUUCUGACGCUGAGGAACGAAAGCGUGGGUAGCAAACAGG
rnacentral:rRNA from 1 species